CCUGCACAGGCUUCAGACACCUUCUCCAGUCCCAACACACCUCAGUACUGGACCUGGGGGAACCACAUGGGGGAACCACGUGAGUACAGGAUGUCCUCCCAAGUUGGUGGACUCCCCAAUCGCUCUUGGACACCUAGAUACCCUGUGCCCCCCUCAGCACUGCCACCAAGUGAAUAUCAGCACAAUGUCUACAUCCCAGGCGCAGUGUCCCUGAACUGUCCCCUGAAAGUGACCAAUUAUGGUGACCUGGAUGCCUACAGCUCUUUUUCUACAUUUGGGAAGAAGAAGAAGCUCAUAUCCAGCUAUGACAAGAAAGACAGAGACACAGUCAUUAACAACGAUCUCUUCAAAUGAGCUCGGCAAGCGUGGAGAGACCAUUUUUUAUGUAUAAUAAGUGAAUUCCCUCCACAUUGUUCUCCUUCUGCAUAUUUCUUGAGAAUAAUAGUAGAUACCAAGAUUACAGAAUUAGUGCAUUUCAUAGUUUAGAGUGUGUUUGUGAAAAAGCUCAUAAUUAAAUGUAAUAUUUAAAUGAUUUCAAACAAAACAAUUUUCCUAUAGUCUUCCUUGUGGUACUGAUCAAAUUUAGCGGAGAAUUACAACAGAUUAAAGCAGCAGGAUACCAAAGGUCAUUAUAAAGCAGUGUAGAUAAUGUGGAGAAAAUGUAAAUAUGUAUAGUAAUCAUAUCCUGAUAUAUGUCAUGUCUGUAGUGUAUAUAUGUGUAUAUGACUUGAGAUAGAAUUUUUCCUAUUAUUUUAUUUGUAUGUGAAUCCCUGUAAACUCUUGAUCCCCACCCCACAGCACCAGUUUUGUCACCUUAAAUGGUUACACAGUCUGAAAAUUCAUAACUGAAUUAAAUGAAUGAAAGUUUUAAGAAUUUCACCUCACAUCCUUUAGGCGCACACAGGUUCUCUUCCCUCAUCUGACUGUACUUAACGGUGCAUAUGAUGUCUAAACUAGGGUGGUAGUAGCCUAGUGGGUAAGACACUCGCCUAUGAACCAGAAGACCCAGGUUCAAACCCCACUUACUACCAUUGUGUUCCUGAGCAGGACACUUAAUCCUGAGUGUCUCCAGGGGGGGGACUGUCCCUGUAACUGCUGAUUGUAAGUCGCUCUGGAUAAGGGCGUCUGAUAAAUGCUGUAAAUGUAAACUAGCUUUUUAUUCAUUCAUUAUCAUGUCUUAUGAAGGAAUAAUUAGGAAUAAGGAAUAGUCCUUUACAGCUUGCAUCGUUACAGGACGGAUAUCGGCAUUCUGGUAUUACGUUAUCCCACGUGGAGCAGUCUGGUCUGUAAAUCUCGAUUGCGCGUUACAUGUCGCUGAACAGGAACCCCGUGGCGUGGUCGGCGGUCACGUGGU
rnacentral:lncRNA from 1 species